AGAGUUUGAUCCUGGCUCAGAACGAACGCUGGCGGCGCGUCUUAAGCAUGCAAGUCGAGCGGUAAGUUGUAGCUUGCUACAACCUAGAGCGGCGGACUGGUGAGUAACGCGUGGGUGACGUACCCUUUUGACGGGGAUAGCCUGUGGAAACACAGGGUAAUACCGGAUAAGCUGUUAUGUGUCAGAGGCAUAACAGGAAAGGUUCUUUUGAACCGCGAAAGGAACGGCCCGCGUGCUAUUAGUUAGUUGGCGGGGUAACGGCCCACCAAGACGACGAUAGCUACCCGGCCUAAGAGGGUGAACGGGCACAUUGGGACUGAGAUACGGCCCAGACUCCUACGGGAGGCAGCAGCUAAGAAUAUUCCGCAAUGGACGAAAGUCUGACGGAGCGACGCCGCGUGGAUGAUGAAGGCCGGAAGGUUGUAAAAUCCUUUUGGAAGCGAGGAAUAAGAGAGGUGAGAGAAACGCCUCAUGGUGACGGUAGCUUCUGAAUAAGCAACGGCUAAUUACGUGCCAGCAGCCGCGGUAACACGUAAGUUGCGAGCGUUGUUCGGAAUUAUUGGGCGUAAAGGGCAUGUAGGCGGUAAUGCAAGUCU
rnacentral:rRNA from 1 species